GGUAAAAUAUUCAUCAGUAUGACACUAAAGGACAAAAAGACCCUUUGAAGCUUUAUAGGGAUAAAACUCUGGUUAAAAUUGCUAAAGCCUUACAGAUUUACAACAUCAAGAACUGUUUAAUUGGGGCGAUAACCUUAUCCACAGCCACCUAAGCCAACUAAUAAGUGCAAAGAUACAUGUUUUGCUUAAUGGCCCAACAAGUCCUUCCCAGUACUUAAAUGCUAUCUUAAUGAGCUUUAAAUUAAUUUACCAGAGUGAAGCUACUCUACGGAUAACAGGCUUAAUUUCCGCAAUAUCCAAGGUCACAUUAUCAAGAAUAAAGCACCUCGAUGUCGGCUUAUCUCAACCAAGGUAAGUAGCCCAAAUAUUGGUGGGAGUGCUCAUCCCGUAAAAAGGUACGUGA
rnacentral:rRNA from 1 species